rnacentral:rRNA from 1 species
GAUGAACGCUGGCGGCGUGCCUAAUACAUGCAAGUCGAGCGAACAGACGAGGAGCUUGCUCCUCUGACGUUAGCGGCGGACGGGUGAGUAACACGUGGAUAACCUACCUAUAAGACUGGGAUAACUUCGGGAAACCGGAGCUAAUACCGGAUAAUAUAUUGAACCGCAUGGUUCAAUAGUGAAAGACGGUUUUGCUGUCACUUAUAGAUGGAUCCGCGCCGCAUUAGCUAGUUGGUAAGGUAACGGCUUACCAAGGCAACGAUGCGUAGCCGACCUGAGAGGGUGAUCGGCCACACUGGAACUGAGACACGGUCCAGACUCCUACGGGAGGCAGCAGUAGGGAAUCUUCCGCAAUGGGCGAAAGCCUGACGGAGCGACGCCGCGUGAGUGAUGAAGGUCUUCGGAUCGUAAAACUCUGUUAUUAGGGAAGAACAAAUGUGUAAGUAACUAUGCAAGUCUUGACGGUACCUAAUCAGAAAGCCACGGCUAACUACGUG